rnacentral:rRNA from 1 species
UACCGGCGCCUCAAGUGGUAGUCGAUUUUAUUGGGCCUAAAACGUCCGUAGCCUGUUCUGUAAGUUUGCGGUUAAAUCCAUACGCUCAACGUAUGGGCUGCCGUAAAUACUGUAGAACUAGGGAGUGGGAGAGGUAGACGGUACUCGAUAGGAAGGGGUAAAAUCCUUUGAUCUAUUGAUGACCACCUGUGGCGAAGGCGGUCUACCAGAACACGUUCGACGGUGAGGGAUGAAAGCUGGGGGAGCAAACCGG